CGUGCUACAAUGGCGCAUACAAAGAGAAGCGACCUCGCGAGAGCAAGCGGACCUCAUAAAGUGCGUCGUAGUCCGGAUUGGAGUCUGCAACUCGACUCCAUGAAGUCGGAAUCGCUAGUAAUCGUGGAUCAGAAUGCCACGGUGAAUACGUUCCCGGGCCUUGUACACACCGCCCGUCACACCAUGGGAGUGGGUUGCAAAAGAAGUAGGUAGCUUAACCUUCGGGAGGGCGCUUACCACUUUGUGAUUCAUGACUGGGGUGAAGUCGUAACAAGGUAACCGUAGGGGAACCUGCGGUUGGA
rnacentral:rRNA from 1 species